GCCGUCUCCGUUUCUCUUUCUUCAGGCAAGAGCGCGANCAGGGCAAUUCGGGCCUGUAGCUCAGGUGGUUAGAGCGCACGCCUGAUAAGCGUGAGGUCGGUAGUUCGAGUCUACCCAGGCCCACCAUUAUCAGGUUCUCGAAGCCAGAAAUCAGAAGUCAGAACAGACGUCGCGACGCGCUGUCUGACGUGUGGUUUCCGGCUUCGGUUGGAUGUGAAAGCCGACGGGGCCAUAGCUCAGUUGGGAGAGCGCCUGCUUUGCAAGCAGGAGGUCGUCGGUUCGAUCCCGUCUGGCUCCACCAACUUUGCAAUAAGCGCGCAUCCGUCCUCGAGCGCGAAACGCGAUAGGACGAAACGAGCGCGCACGCUCUUGCCAAGAGCCGAAAUUUCGCGCCGGCGGCGAAUGCCGCCUGCGAAACUUCUUUUACAUCGUGAAGAGGGGAUCGACCUGAGGCUUCCUCAGCCGCAAGAACGCAAGUUCUUGUCGAGGAAUGCAGCUCACCUCAGUCAGCGAAGCUAACCGCUUUCGCUGUCGGGUCGAUCUCGAUGAAAAUCUGGUCUUAACGUCGGCGUCCGUCGCGAGACGGACGUUGAUAUAGACUAACUGCUCAGCAUCGAGCUCCAUCUUCGGAUGGGCCUUGAUGAUGAGAGCAAUCAAGUGACUUAAGGGCAUCUGGUGAAUGCCUUGGUGCACACAGGCGAUGAAGGACGUGGUACGCUGCGAUAAGCCAUGGGGAGCUGCGAACAAGCUU
rnacentral:misc_RNA from 1 species